rnacentral:lncRNA from 10 species
CCAUCUCAAAAAAACAAAAACAAAAACUCUAAGGUAAAUGUUAUCCCUACCCUGGAGGUAACCUGAGGUCUUUUCCAGCUGGUUCUUGAACAGUAUAGCACACAAGCAUCUAAAGUAUCAUCGGAAUGGUACUGCCAUUUACUGAAUGUCUGUUACCUGCUCAAUACUGUGCAAGGUUUUUUAUCAGUUAUCGAAUACUCCAACCUUAUUAAGCUGGAGCAUUAAAUAUAUGUCAAAUGUAAGUAUGUAGGUAUUAUUUCCUACAGACUUAUUAUUACCUUUACUAAUGAGUACACUGAGGCCCUGACAGGGUUAAAUCUCUUGCCCAAGUUUACGGCAGUCAGUGGGUUUGAACUCUUAUCUGACUCAUGUCUGUCUGACUCCAAAGUCCAUGUUUGCUCUAUUCUGUCAUUCAUUAGUCUUGUAAUAGAACUAACUUAAUAAUGUAAUGUAAGACAGGGAUGGUUGCAGACAACUAGAAAUGUUAAGAAACUAGACUAAUAAUUUAAAAUGAUUGCUUUAUGUAUUCACUGUGGCAUGUUUAAAUGGUCAUAGGGCCAGGAACAUAUGCCAUUCUUUCAAAGCACUGAAACUUGGCACUUGAACUAGUUUAGUCUGUCUUACCAGAGAUCUGUAGUUAUACUAAGACUCUUGGAUGAGAACAUGAUUUUAUUUAAUAUGAAGAAAAUAUAGGCUGGGCAUGAUGGCUGAUGCCUGUAAUCUCAGUAUUUUGGGAGGCCAAGGCCGAAGAAUCACUUGAGGUCAGGAAUUUGAGACCAGCCUUGGCAACAAAGUGAGACCCCCAUCUCUACAAAAAGAUUAAAAAAUUAGCCAUGUAUCAUGGUACAUGCCUGUGGUUCCAACUACCUGGGAGGCUGAGGCAGGAGGAUCAUCUGAGCCCAGGAGGUCAAGGCUGCAGUGAGCUGUGUUCAUGCCACUGCACUCCAGCCUGGGCGACAGAGCAGGACCCUGACUCCAAAAAAUAAAAAAAUGAGCUGAGUGUGGUGGUGCACACAUUUAGUCUCAGCUACUUGGGAGGCUGUGGUGGGAAGAUCCCUUGAGCCCAUAAGUUCGAUUGUGUAGUGAGCUUUGAUCGUACCACUGCACUCCAGCCUGGGCAACAGAACAAGACUCUGUCUCUACAAAAAAAAAAAAAAAAAAGAAAAAGAAAAAAGAUCAUCUCACUUCCUACCUGCCUUCUGGUUCAUUCUAUUUUUUUUCUUUUUUUUGAGAUGGAGUUUCACUCUUGUUGCCCAUGGCGUGAUCUUGGCUCAUCGCAACCUCUGAGUUCAAGGGAUUCUCCUGCCUCAGCCUAAUUUAAAACCAACAAAAGAAAACCAAAAAUCUUCUUAGCCUAUCAAGAUAGCUAUAUCCUGAUAAGCUAAGAAGUUAUUUUGUUUAUAUCAU